UCUUAGUUUUUUUUAAUCUGCCCUCUGCUUUCUAUUUUAUCCCCAGUGAAAGUAAAAAAUUACUCUACUUUCCUUUCUUCAUUCCUUCAGUUCGAGAAACCCAGAGUCUUUAGUUUCUGCACUCUGCUUUUUUAUUUUUCUUCAUCCCCCAGAAAACCCACACACAAUCUCAUUAAGAAAAAAAAAAAAAAAUUCCAUGCUCCAUCUCCCUGCAUCUCUUACCUCUUCUCUUGCAAACAUAUGAAAGACUAAGGAAAAAUUGUGUUUGAGGUGAGCGGUAGUUGUGUAGAGGAGCUUUACUUGGAAAGUUUGCAGCAUCAAAUAGAAAGUGAUCUUAUGCCAAGUGCCCGAUGUGACCAAAGUGAUUCUUAUGUUUUCAGCCAAGGUUGGAAUUUCUUAGGCUUGGCUGGUGGAACAUUAUUAAUUUUCAAGUUGAUUACAAAUAUGCAGUUGGGGAUAGGAUAGAGUGGAUAUCACGAUGGUCUCAUAGCAAGAGAAGAAGCUGUAGUGCAAGAGGGAUUUAAUAUUGGCUUUAAGGAAUCAGUCCUUGUUGGGUACAAAUGGGGUCUAGUUAGAGGUGAUACUAGUGGCAAGGGAUUGGAAUGAGCUAGGGGUGACAAACUGUGGAAAUGAGACAAAACUCCUAAGUGGAUCAGUCUAUCGAGGCGGAUUGCCCAAGGAAUUAUAUGUGGUGAAAGAUGUAUUAACUGGAAUGAGAAAACAUGUUCAUCUACUGGACAUAACAACUAUAUCACAACUCAGAAAAGAUGCACAUCCUGGCUUUUAUAAUGGCUUUAGGCGCAUGGACUGUAACCAUUGGUGUAUUGUUGGACUUCUAGAUACUUGGAAUCAAAUUUUUAUGCAUUUCUCAUAAUUGUUAUGCUUGUUCUGGUAUUUUUAGUUUAUAAAAAUGAUCAUACAGUUGCUUAGGUCCUUCCUUUCAUAGAUCACCAUUUUUAAGGGAAUCAAGUUUCAAAACACGACCGAUCUUUUCAUUUUCAAUGUCAACCAGAUAUUGAGAGUUAAACAUCAUUAAUGAAACUCUACAAUCCUGGAUAAUUUAGAGUAUUUAAUAUAUUCAUAAUUUGAACCAUAAAUUUGCACGA